UGAACAUUGGACUUUUUAAAGACAAAAGCUGGGAAUGGGGCAGACGUGUGAAAACUGCUAAGCAAAUCUGCAGCAUUUUUAUCCCAACUGAUAGCGUCAGUGAUGCACACAGUGGGUUUCGUAGGCAGCUGGCUGCCUAGUUGCCGAGAGAACAUGCUGUGUCUGGAAGCAGGAUGCAUGAGUUCUCCUGCACUUCAGAGUUACUCCUCAGAGAACUCACUCUAAAAUGAGAAGAUGUUGCUGUUUGAGUAGUGAGAAAAUGUGAUCAACCUGCAACAGAAGCACUAGACUGUGAAAAGAUUUCUGGAUCUGAGGAGCAUCUGUGCCUCUAUCUUAAGCAACAAAGCUUGAAACAUGGCUACAGGACCAUUUUCAAUAUACAAAAAAAAGAAAAAGAAAGAAUUGUGGAUCUUUGACAUACUAUGGGGAUCAAUAUUCCUUCUAACAGGGUUUCCCAGAUAUGGUUCAUUACAACUCCCUGUAUCCCCAGCUGCAGUGGCCUUUAGCUGGAGAUUAUGGGAGUUCUAGUCCACCACAUCUGGGAAUUCCCGUUAGAGGGAACACUGAUGGGGAUCUUUGGAAAAACUAUGAGUUUGUUAGAGUGCCUGU